rnacentral:ncRNA from 2 species
CUCUUAUCCCGAGUUGGUGGAGGGACAGGCCCGAUGAAGCCCAGCAACCGGUUUCUUAUGAAAAGGCAUGAAUAUGCUGAGAAACCAAGGUGCUAACCUGAUGCAAGGUACAAGAACACCUUGAGCGAUAAGAG